GCUGGGAUAGCUCAAUUGGCAGAGCAGCGGUAUCGUAAACCGCAGAUUCCGGGUUCGAUUCCCGGUCCCAGCUCAA
rnacentral:tRNA from 4 species